rnacentral:misc_RNA from 1 species
CAAAGAGAGUUGAGAAACUCCCUAAACCCCCUGUGAACCUUACCACUAUUUUCCUUCGGCAGGCGGCCCCAGGGCGGGGCCAUGGUCUGCCAGCGGCGCAGGCGCCUGCCGAAGAACACCUUUAAACUCUGUUAUGAUUGUUCAUCUGAAUUCAUGACAAAAAAAAAAUCA